CAGUCGCCACGGUAAUACGAAGGGGGCUAGCGUUGUUCGGAAUUACUGGGCGUAAAGGGCGCGUAGGCGGGAUCUUAAGUCAGGGGUGAAAUCCCGAGGCUCAACCUCGGAACUGCCUUUGAUACUGGGGUCCUUGAGUCCGGAAGAGGUGAGUGGAACUGCGAGUGUAGAGGUGAAAUUCGUAGAUAUUCGCAAGAACACCGGUGGCGAAGGCGGCUCACUGGUCCGGAACUGACGCUGAGGCACGACAGCGUGGGGAGCAAACAAGAUUAGAUACCCCGGUAGUCCCUGUCUCUUAUAC
rnacentral:rRNA from 1 species